UUCAGAAGAGGAGUAAAAUAAAUUCUGACAAUAGAGGAAUGUUAGAAGUGAACCACGUAGCUGGUUCAAAGUCAUUUGUACGACUUCGUCACGACAUGCGAGAUUCCGUCACUGGCCAGGAGCCCGGACCAGUAAACUUCUACAAAGGGACUCACUGUCGGCAGUCGACAGGAUCUUGGGUACAUCAUAGAGCCAGCGAGAUUUGGGAGGAGAUGAACACCUUACGCAGUCAGCCCACUCCCGAUGGUACUCAGCGGAU